rnacentral:miRNA from 1 species
CUACCCCCCAUCCCCCUGUAG